rnacentral:rRNA from 1 species
AUUGAACGCUGGCGGCAUGCCUUACACAUGCAAGUCGAACGGCAGCACGGGAGCAAUCCUGGUGGCGAGUGGCGAACGGGUGAGUAAUACAUCGGAACGUGUCCAGUAGUGGGGGAUAGCCGGCGAAAGCCGGAUUAAUACCGCAUACGACCUACGGGUGAAAGCGGGGAGUCGCAAGACCUUGCGCUAUCGGAGCGGCCGAUGUCAGAUUAGCUAGUUGGUGGGGAAAAGACCUACCAAGGCGACGAUCUGUAGCUGGUCUGAGAGGACGACCAGCCACACUGGGACUGAGACACGGCCCAGACUCCUACGGGAGGCAGCAGUGGGGAAUUUUGGACAAUGGGCGCAAGCCUGAUCCAGCCAUGCCGCGUGCGGGAAGAAGGCCUUC